AGCUUAAUUAUCAUGUUAAUCUUUUCCGCAGGAGAAGAUCACCAUCCCCAUACUACAGCCGAGGAGGUUACAGAUCUCGCUCCAGAUCUCGAUCCUAUUCACCUCGUCGCUAUUAAAACAUGAAGUUUAGAGGAAUUUCUAACUACAGCCCUUGAGCUGGGAUCACAGAUAUGUGGACAAUAUUUUUAUUGUCUAUUCUGUUUAAAAAGUGAGCAGUGCCUAGGGAAUAGGUGACUUUUACACCUUUUAUGAAGACUACUUUUUGGUGAAGUUAAAAUGCUGUUUCAUUCUGCAUAUCUGUGUAGUUUGGUGCUUUGUUCAAAGUUGUGUUUUUGAGAGGAGUAUGUUUUGCAUGUAUUUUUUUAGUCAGAAUUUUGACUGCUGAAAGGUUUCUAUUAUACAAAACUGUUCAUUUAAAGUUUUUUCUACUGAUUCCAGGAUAUUCUGAAGAUCAAACCUGUGUAAAAUGCUUUCAAAUAGUAAAAAAUAAUAAACAGUUUGAUUUUUACUUCCCAAAUCUGAUGCAUAGCCAAAGUAAUCUGUUUCUCCAAUUCUCAAAUUCAAUAGCUAAUUAACUAAGAGAAAAGCCAGUCAUCGCCCUUUUCCACAGCCUGCCAGAAUAUGCAUAGUAUGAAGCCCAUUAAUAAAAAGUUGUUUAUACUGCU